GCCGCUUCCGCAGCACACCGCCAAUCAGCGCUCCAGGGCCUCGCGUGGGUAGGGGGAGGAGGGAUUCCCUUCUUGCCCUUUGCCCCUUGCCCUCUGCCCCUUGCCCUUCGCCUCUCCUUUGGCACGCGAUGAGACACGCCCCUCCACUGGCGGGACUGCGCGGAGCCCUAGCUCCUCGGCUUCAAGUCGGGGCUGAGGGUGUCCCCUCCCGCCUCCCUCAGGGGCCCUCGCGCGGGUGCCCCCAGGUUCCACCCCUCCCUUUGGUGUCAGGGCCGGAACCUGGAGAGGUCUUGAGGGAAGCCUGGGCGCGGCCUCGGGGGGCUGCGGCGCGGGUCUGAGGUAAAUGGUUCCAGCAGCAACCACCGGGCAGGUCUCCUCCGGACCGCGACCUCCAGUCCGAAGCACAGGGCAGCCGGCUGGGCCAGCCUCCCGCACAGGACGACGGAGGAAGAUUUGUCACUCCAAGAGAUGGCCCUGGGACUGAGAAGUGGAUGGCAGCCGUGACAGCGGGAGAGGACUGUCUGAGGCUCCCGGGCAGAGGCUCUGGUGCCAGGUUUAGCAGCAGGACCGACAGCAGACCCAGCAGCCAGGGAGUGAAAGGUGGGUAAAUUGAGGCCCGAGGAGAGGAAUGGACUUGCUGUGGACAUUCCAAGAGCCCAGAGGCAACUCAGGACAAGACCAAAGCCUGGGCACCAACAGCCUUUGCACAGAUGUAACCCUGGCCCUGCUCACCGGAGCGGAAUGCGGAUGGCGAUGUAGCGGUCAAUGGCGAUGGCCAGGAGGCUGAAGAUGGAGCUCUGCGUGAGGACCAGGACAAAGCAGGCAAUGAAGAGGCAGCCGUGGCAGGCAGCACAGAACCCGGUGCUGAUGGCCAGCUUCUCAGCCCCCUUGGCCCACUCCAUCCCGUCAGCUCUCCCAGGAACUACCAGCACCCACCUAAGGGACACCAGCCGCCCUAUGAAAGGACAGGCCAGAGACCCCUGGAGCUCGGAUGUGGAAGGAUGUGGGGAGCCGCCUGGUCCUUUCUCCCACUGCCGCAGAGGGACAUGAGGGACGGAGCAGGAUUGGCAACCUGGAGAGAAAGUCAGUCCUGGUCCUGAGCCCUGUUCAAAGGGUCAGGCUCCCCUCUACCCCACUGUCCAUGUGACGGAGCUCAAACAGACCCCAACUUUCCCUCCAACUCCAAUGCUGUCAGCACCUCAAGUGGCUGGAACAGGAUUGGCACAGGCUGCAGCCAUACCUGGGACUGGAGGUUCUCCUGCACCCAACAGGCCCUUUUGCGUCUACUAGGAGGCUUGGAAUGGAGCAUUGACACAGAAGCAGGAGGAGGAAGGAGAGAGCAGAGACCAGAGACCCUGCAAAAAUGGAGGGCCUGCAGCAGCUGGAGAGGGCUGAGUCCUCCCAAGCCCCUGCUUUCCAUGGGGCACUUGCCAGGCAGCCACUCACAAAGCAUGUCGCUGGCAGGGAUGCGCCAGACCAGGUCUCCUGGCACCAUCUCUGGCCACACUCAAGGAACACAGUUAUCCCUGAUGUUCCUGGCCUCUCUCCCUGAGCAGUAGUCACCAGGGCCCACCUGACUCAUGAUAGCUCCUGCCCAAUGGGUACAAGUGGAGCUGGUGCUGGGCCUGGGCUGCCUCCCACCCAGGUGCCUGGCCUGUGGUUCCAAGGUGGCCUCCCAGGCCCAGCACCACCAGCAGCAGCAACAGGCCACUGUCCAGUGAGGCCCCGUGGGUCACUGAGGAGCCGCCUCUACCCAGGGAUCCUGCGUCCCACCACGGCCCUCUCUAGGGCAUCUGCAUUGAAGGAUGCCACAACCUUCUGCCAAUCUGACCAUCCCAGGCGAGAAAGCUGAUGCAGCCCCAGAUCACACUCCAGAUUCAAGGGCCUUGCUGGGGGCAGACAAGGUGGAACAUAACAUGUCUGCCCAGGUGAGGGAGGACUCCCCAGUCCCACCACUCAGAGCCCUGCUGGUGGGGUCACAUCAUCAGCACCUGCCUCAGGGGCUGGACUGGUGCCAUGCCAGCCGGGAUGCCUGGUUUAGGAGGAGCCUGACUGGGGCCUCUGUUUGGCAAGGCUUCCCUGGCAGCUGUGGGUACCUGCCUGUGUACCCCCAUUCUCAGGGUCUUCGCACCUUCUGUGCUGUGGGUCCCCACGCUAAACAGCAUUAGAUACUGAUAACCUUCUUGACUACACUGAAGCCAACUUCCUGCUGCCCACCAGCCUCAAUGAGGGCAACAGACCCCUUUGCCCUGGCCGGCCUCGCACGGGGCUAAAGACACCCAUGGCUCCUGCCGGCAGGGUCCACACAGGCCACCUCGCUGCCCGUCCCCUCCCUCGGCCCCUCCUGAAGCACUCCUGCAGGCUCUCCCAGCUGCUGCCAGCACAUCCCGGGUGAGGCUUGCCCGGACCCACAGGCAACUUGGGCCCCUGCCAAGCCAGAAUCCACUCUCAGCUGUGCCUUUCUCAGCCCCGAGCAAAGCAGAUCGGUGGAGUCAGAGGCACCCUCGGGGCAGGCAGGGGAGGAGUGCGUUCCUCGGGGAAAGGCUGGGAACUACCAUAGGCUGGCAAAUCGGCCCCGGGCCGGGGCGCCCUGACUUACAGGCUUUGCCUGAUUUCUGUGGUGUAAAUUCUCCCCUUGUGCCCAGUUUCAAGCUACUAAUGUGUCGUGGACCAGAACUGGGGAGCAACAGAGUCAGCUGGCCACGAUGCCAGCCACUGCUGAGCUGCCAAACUUUAUGCAUCCCAGGAGGCACCUGCCUAGAGGUCACGCACUGCACUGGACCCUCAGACACAGCUUGUGCAGCCGCUUAGGAGCUUGGGAAAUGACUGUCAUCUGUGAUCUUGCUGGUCCCAGGAAACCCAUUUUACAGAUGAGGAAACUGAGGCCCAAAGGCAUGAAGCGACCUCUCUCAGCCUUACCAAGAGCACUGGAAGGUGGCGUAGGGCUGGGGCUGUACCCAUAGAGAGCACAGCAGCAGGAAGCCUCCUGGGCCUCCAGCUCCCCUCCCUCAGAAGCCUCCCAGAGUGACAGGAAGGUCGGAGGCCCCAGGGAGGGGAUGGGGCCAGGAUCUGGCAAUUUCCUAUCCCUCUCUGUUGGCUCUGUGCAUCUAAUUAAUCCUUCAGUCAUCUGUUGCUAACCAGGAGGGGAAAUUAAAUACUAAUAAUGUAAUACUUCUCUGUGAUUGCCCCUUGUUGGGGACAGAUCAGAGGGCAGAUGCUGCCCCAUAUAGACAGGGGACACAUGCUGUGGAACGUGCAUAAUGCCUCUUGAAAGAACAACCUUAUAGGAUUCCACGUGGUCAGACUCAAAACUGCUACUUGUUCCUGCCUUCCUCCUCACCUUCCCCAACCCGGCCACUUUAAUUAAAACUCCAUUUAAUCAAAACCCACA